rnacentral:misc_RNA from 1 species
AACCUUAUGGACCUGCGGGCGUAUACCUGCGGAAGGAUCAUUACACAAUACAAUAUGAAGGCUGUCCGCAGCUGGAGUAUUUUAUUACCCUUGUCUUUUGCGCACUUGUUGUUUCCUGGGCGGGUUCGCUCGCCACCAGGACCACCAAAUAAACCUUUUUUAUGCAGUUGCAAUCAGCGUCAGUACAAACAAUGUAAAUCAUUUACAACUUUCAGCAAUGGAUCUCAGAUCGGAAGAGCA